UGGAAAUAACACUGCCUUCUGCUGAGG
rnacentral:piRNA from 1 species